rnacentral:rRNA from 1 species
CGCAAAAGUGGCGGCGUGCUAAUACAUGCAAGUCGAGCGAGCUGAACCAACAGAUUCACUUCGGUGAUGACGUUGGGAACGCGAGCGGCGGAUGGGUGAGUAACACGUGGGGAACCUGCCCCAUAGUCUGGGAUACCACUUGGAAACAGGUGCUAAUACCGGAUAAGAAAGCAGAUCGCAUGAUCAGCUUAUAAAAGGCGGCGUAAGCUGUCGCUAUGGGAUGGCCCCGCGGUGCAUUAGCUAGUUGGUAGGGUAACGGCCUACCAAGGCAAUGAUGCAUAGCCGAGUUGAGAGACUGAUCGGCCACAUUGGGACUGAGACACGGCCCAAACUCCUACGGGAGGCAGCAGUAGGGAAUCUUCCACAAUGGACGAAAGUCUGAUGGAGCAACGCCGCGUGAGUGAAGAAGGUUUUCGGAUCGUAAAGCUCUGUUGUUGGUGAAGAAGGAUAGAGGUAGUAACUGGCCUUUAUUUGACGGUAAUCAACCAGAAAGUCACGGCUAACUACGUGCCAGCAGCCGCGGUAAUACGUAGGUGGCAAGCGUUGUCCGGAUUUAUUGGGCGUAAAGCGAGCGCAGGCGGAAGAAUAAGUCUGAUGUGAAAGCCCUCGGCUUAACCGAGGAACUGCAUCGGAAACUGUUUUUCUUGAGUGCAGAAGAGGAGAGUGGAACUCCAUGUGUAGCGGUGGAAUGCGUAGAUAUAUGGAAGAACACCAGUGGCGAAGGCGGCUCUCUGGUCUGCAACUGACGCUGAGGCUCGAAAGCAUGGGUAGCGAACAGGAUUAGAUACCCUGGUAGUCCAUGCCGUAAACGAUGAGUGCUAAGUGUUGGGAGGUUUCCGCCUCUCAGUGCUGCAGCUAACGCAUUAAGCACUCCGCCUGGGGAGUACGACCGCAAGGUUGAAACUCAAAGGGAAUUGAC